GGAAUCUUCCGCAAUGGGCGAAAGCCUGACGGAGCAACGCCGCGUGAGUGAUGAAGGUCUUAGGAUCGUAAAACUCUGUUGUUAGGGAAGAAAAUGACGGUACCUGACUAAGAAGCCCCGGCUAACUACGUGCCAGCAGCCGCGGUAAUACGUAGGGGGCAAGCGUUAUCCGGAUUUACUGGGUGUAAAGGGAGCGUAGACGGCUGUGCAAGUCUGGAGUGAAAGGCAUGGGCUCAACCUGUGGACUGCUUUGGAAACUGUGCGGCUUGAGUGUCGGAGAGGCAAGUGGAAUUCCUAGUGUAGCGGUGAAAUGCGUAGAUAUUAGGAGGAACACCAGUGGCGAAGGCGGCUUGCUGGACGAUGACUGACGUUGAGGCUCGAAAGCGUGGGGAGCAAACAG
rnacentral:rRNA from 1 species